AGAUUGAACGCUGGCGGCAUGCCUUACACAUGCAAGUCGAACGGCAGCACGGGAGCAAUCCUGGUGGCGAGUGGCGAACGGGUGAGUAAUACAUCGGAACGUGCCCAGUAGUGGGGGAUAACCCGGCGAAAGCCGGACUAAUACCGCAUACGACCUACGGGUGAAAGCAGGGGAUCGCAAGACCUUGCGCUAUCGGAGCGGCCGAUGUCAGAUUAGCUUGUUGGCGGGGUAAAAACGCCCACCAAGGCGUACGAAUCUGUAGCGUGUCUGAGAGGACGACCAGCCACACUGGACUGAGACACGGCCCAGACUACCUACGGGAGGCAGACGAGUGGGGAAUUUUGGACAAUGGGCGCAAGCCUGAUCCAGCCAUAGCCGCGUGGACCGGGAAGAAGGCCGUUCGGUUA
rnacentral:rRNA from 1 species